UAGGGAAUCUUCCGCAAUGGACGCAAGUCUGACGGAGCAACGCCGCGUGAGUGAAGAAGGAUUUCGGUUCGUAAAACUCUGUUGUUAGAGAAGAACAGCGCAUAGAGUAACUGUUAUGCGUGUGACGGUAUCUAACCAGAAAGCCACGGCUAACUACGUGCCAGCAGCCGCGGUAAUACGUAGGUGGCAAGCGUUGUCCGGAUUUAUUGGGCGUAAAGCGAGCGCAGGCGGUCAAUUAAGUCUGAUGUGAAAGCCCCCGGCUCAACCGGGGAGUGUCAUUGGAAACUGGUUGACUUUAGUGCAGAAGAGGAGGGUGGAAUUCCAUGUGUAGCGGUGAAAUGCUUAGAUAUAUGGAGGAACACCAAUGGCGAAGGCGACUCUCUGGUCUGUAACUGACGCUGAGGCUCGAAAGCGUGGGUAGCAAACAGG
rnacentral:rRNA from 1 species